GAAUAUUUUCCUUCUGUUGAAAUGUUUUGGUCUGUAAUAAAGGGAAAUGCUCCACGAUGAUGAUAUACCCGAGAUGAUCUUAAUUUGUUGGAGCACUAAUCAACUCACUGAGUUAAACUUUUAGCAGACCUCUAUGCUGGAAAUGACACUGUGAGCCAGGUCUUAUGAUGGAAUCUUAAAACAAGUUCUUUUCCAACUGGGUGCUAUUUUGAGCCCAACAAAUCAAGUUUUAAUCAAAAUAUUGUUGGACUCAUGUUCCAAAAUCAGUAACUCUUUUGGUGAAAGAUGUUCACCUGGAGACUCUUUGCAGGGAGCCUGUUGCUUUCUCUAAACACUAGUGUCAGCAAGUAUAAGCCAAGUGAAGGCUAGGUUUGCUGUAUACCAGGAGACGGCCCCAGGCAACAUGAAUGCUUUUUCCCACUUAAUGAUCUUCAGUUUUCACUCUGGCUUCAUAGCCUGCAACUCUUAUGUGAAACAGCAGCAUAACAAAGACUCUGAUGGCACAGCUAGUGCUUUUCAUUUACAACUGUACCCCAUACAACUUCAUCCUUCUGUCUUUUUUCUUUCCUGCCAAAAAAAAAAAAAAAAAAAAAAACCUGAAUAGCUAGAAUUAGUGCUCCUUGAGUACCAGUUCACUUGCCUAGCAAUUUUAUUCAGAAAACAGAUGGUUCAGUAUGUGAAAGAGGACUGGUAAAGACCUCUGUGUGAGGUCCUUGGCAGAGUAAUCUCAUUCCAAAGAUCUAGGUGGCUUGGAUUCCCUCCCCCUCUCCUUUAAUACAAAUUCUUAAGUGUUAAGUCAGGCAGAAAAUGAGUCUAGUCUACAUUUAUCUUACUGAAUGGCAGUCAACUCCUGCCUAAUCUUUCAACAUAUAUUUGUUCAGUGGAUCAACAGAUUGUGUAAGCAGCAUGACGGACAGGUUUAGAAAUAUGUCUGCUUAUGUUUGGUUUGUGCUGAACCAUUGACCAUUUUGUUUGUGAAUCCAUCAUAAAUUACACCUCCAGGUUACUCAGUAUGAGUGAGGAGGGGAAAUACUUGUUCUCACUGUGGUGAAAGGCAUUUUACACAGCUGUCAGACUCCAGAAGGGAAGCGGAAUUGCAUCAGUACUAGUAUUAAAUUUGUUUUCCAAAAUCUUGAUGGAUAUGGCUCUUCUUUCGCAAGCCUUUUGCUGACUGUGGUGUUACUUCUCGUUGCAGAUAACAUAAGGCAAGAAGCAAGAAUAGUUGUUGCCAGUGAUUUAGACUUUCUUGGAAAGAAGAGACUUCAGUAAUUGUAUCAGAGCAGUGAUAAGAAAUAUUACAUCCAUCUCC
ensembl:lncRNA